AUGAUGGGGCAGCUUCUGUCACCUCAGUUUUUUGCCUUUGGUUUAGUCACAUACCUGAGAUUUAGGUUGCAGAAAGAGGCAGUAGGUAGGUUUGUUUCUCGGUGGGCAGAGAGGCUGCUCCAGGAAGGCUCUGGCUCAUCUGGGAUGACAGCUCUGUCUGUUUCAGUGCCAUGGGGACAGUCGUGCUGGACGGGCAGAUCUACGUCUGUGGGGGCUACGAUGGCAACUCUUCCCUCAGCUCCGUGGAGACCUACUCACCUGAGACGGACAAGUGGACAGUGGUGACCCCAAUGAGCUCGAAUCGCAGUGCUGCUGGGGUUACGGUCUUUGAGGGCAGGAUAUAUGUGUGGUGGUUGACACGGAUCUUCAGCAGUGUGAGUCUGGGCUCCCCCUGGGAUAAGGGCACCUACUUCUUCUGUCUUUGAGAUUUAUUUUGGAAGAUCAUUAACUGAAAAAACUUCAGCCUUGCCGUAGCUGAAUAAAGUAUCAUCUAGUGAGGUUUCAGGCUAUCCACUGCGUCUUCUGAAAUUCUGAACUUACAGAGAAUGAGCCAGUUAAUGCCUUAAAAGAAGGGUGUAGGGUAGUCACAUCUGCAGCCACCACCCUGUUCUACUGUCUGUCGGACACUGCAUAGACACUGCAAAUCUACAAGUGUAAAUUUGCAAACAGUUGUAUUCUUUUGGAUAAUUUGUUUGAAAUUGUAUUUAUUCUGUAAAAAAGGCUCAACAGCCAUUUACUAGUCAUUCCAUAGUCAGUCAGUGCCGCAGUGGAAAGCCCUGGAGAUUACAGGAGACCCAGCUCUCAUACAGGUUCUGUCACUACCUAGCAUUGCAUCCUUGGGCACAUCCUUUUUUUUGUUUCCUUAGAUGCAGACAGAAAGGGUCAGGUGAGGUGACCUCUCCCGCCCCAUACGUAAAGAGCAGGCCUGCAGCAGAGGAAUACUGGCAGAGCUCCUCAUCCCCAUGCCUCCCACAGGAGUUUGACAUCAUGGGGGCUGCUGUGCCCUGCAAUGGUCACUCUAUGGACUGAGCUUUGUCUCUGACUGUCCUGUACCUGUGCCUCUCUCCCCACUGUAGGUGGAGCACUACAACCACCACACUGCCACCUGGCACCCUGCAGCUGGCAUGCUCAACAAGCUGCCGACGGGCCGCCUCCCUGGGGAGCAAGAUGUUUUGUCUCGCGGGGGGCUACGAUGGCUCUGGCUUCCUCAGCAUUGCUGAGAUGUACAGCUCUGUGGCAGACCAGUGGUGCCUGAUUGUCCCCAUGCACAGCGGGCCGGGUCUCCCCUGGUGGCCAGCUGUGGGGGGGCCUCCUCGCUAUGUAGGGGGGCUACGACGGACAGUCAAACCUAAGCUCAGUGGAGAUGUAUGACCCAGAGACGGACCGCUGGACAUUCAUGGCCCCCAUGGCAUGCCAUGAGGGAGGAGUCGGUGUGGGCUGCAUCCCUCUCCUCACCAUCUAAGGCAGAGGAUGGGGAUGUGGUGGGGCAGGGAUCUGGUACAGACAUAGGCGCAUCCUUCCAGGAACAGUCCCUCAGGAGAGGCAGU
ensembl:lncRNA